GACGAAGGAUGCAAGCGUUAUCCGGAUUCAUUGGGUUUAAAGGGAGCGUAGGCGGAUUGGUAAGUCAGUGGUGAAAUCUGUGGGCUUAACCCACAAACUGCCAUUGAUACUGCUGAUCUAGAGUACAGUUGCCGUUGGCGGAAUAUGACAUGUAGUGGUGAAAUACUUAGAUAUGUCAUAGAACACCGAUGCGAAGGCAGCUAACGAAGCUGUAACUGACGCUGAGGCUCGAAAGUG
rnacentral:rRNA from 1 species